GAAUAAGGUCAAGUCGUGUGAGGUUAGUGUGAGUGAGGUGUCAAAGUCGUGCUGUCAACAGCAAGCCGUCAAAGUGAUCUUCGCGCCGGAAUGUCUGCUUGCGUUAGCUGUGGUUAACACAUGUGCUUUAGUCAUCUUGGUGUUUUUUUCUAAUUGUUUACAGUGUAAAUAGUAGAUUUUUGUGGGAAUAGUGGUUAAACUAACUUUUUUUACUGUAGGUUAAGGUGUAACAAUGAAAGUCUUACUAUUUUGCCUGUUUUCAAAAUUAAAUUGAGACUGUUAUCUCAACUGCACCGAUCA
rnacentral:misc_RNA from 1 species